rnacentral:lncRNA from 1 species
AUGGGAUAUAAGGGAGAGGAGGGGAUCGGGGUUCCCGGUGUCCAGGGGCCUCGUGGAGAGCCAGGGGAGAAGGGAAAUAUAGGCCUAUCAGGACCUGAGGGACUAAAGGGAGAGGCUGGUGUUCAAGGGAUACAAGGGGUUGUCGGACCACGGGGGAAGAAGGGAGUGAAAGGCAUCCAAGGGGAUAAGGGCGAUCGAGGAGAGGUGGGGCCUAUGGGAACACAGGGAGUGACAGUGAGUAUAACCAGCCAUUACAGAAUCAAUCAUUACCACACUACCAAACCUGGGCUGUGUUCAUUUGGGCAUGCAGAAACAGAAAACAAAAAUGAGUGUUUCUUACUGGACAAGUCCGGGUAGUCCCUCUCCGUUUCAGUUUGUCUUCCAUUUGGUGCCUAUUGAAGACGGCCUCGAGUCUCCUGACUUACAGCCUGUAGGGCUUUUAUGGCUUACCCUCCCUUCACAAAUCCUCUG